GCGGAACAGGGCGUGAGAGCUGGCCGGGCUGUCGGGGCCACCACAGCGCGGGGCCGCCGCCCUGGCCUCCGGAGAACAGCGGUCACCUCGGACACAGGCCCUAGACCCACGGUUUCCCAUCUUCAGUGACCCGGGCAUGAAGACACGAGGAAACUGAGGCUCGGGGCGGUUAAUGAUCCGCGCACAAUCACCUGGGCAGUGAAUGGCAGGGCCUGGAUUUGAACCCAAGUCAGCCAGCCUUGGCAGCGGCGCUCUUUCCACAACACCAAGCUGCCUCGAGGCGCCCAGUACGUGCGUCCCACAAAGGUGCCUCCGCCGCGGCCUGCUCACUCGGUCACCCAAACCUGACUGUGCACCGGGCCUGGAGCGUGGAAAUGGGCAGGGCCCUGUGCUCACGGGCCGGAAGGCCCAGCGCGUCUCAGAGGGAGCGCUGGCUCGGACACGGGUCCCAGGUCUCUGUUUGUCUGUCCUGUUUUGUUGGGAGCGAUUUGGUGGGAGGCAGGCACCCCGCCAGGUCAGGGCGCCGUGUCUGAGGAGAAGGUUUCUGAGGAUCAGCUGGAAGAUGGAGGAGCCGGAAGGUAGGGAGGGUUCUGAACAAGAAGUCUACACCCCAAACCAGAACAGACCAAGGACGACGGCAGAACACCUGAGGACAGGGCAGUCAGCCCCCUGCGAGCUGGGGCACGUCCCUGUCACCAGACCCACAGGAGCAUCUCAGACGAGUUGACACCACACGCCCAGACACCUUCCGGGGAAACCAGCCCACCUACCCUACCGCGGGAGUCUGGGAAAAGCCCCAGGUCUCUGCUUCUCACAGGAGCCUCUGUGCCCCGCAGCCCACCCUGCCCCCCGGAUCUGCAGGGGCCGGUGUGGAAGCGGGCAGACCGCCAGGGACAGGCAAGAGCACAUUCCACACCCACAGUGCGGGCUGAGGCCAUGUGGGGGACAAGGGGCUUCCACAGAGCCUCUGGCCAAGCACCAUGUGUUUUGACAACUGACAUCAGUCCUGCUCAUUCAGACAGAGACUUGACACAAGGCCCCUCCCAGACAAAGCAGCCGCCUAAUUAAUAAGCUGCACCACGGCGUGCACUCGCUUAGGCAGCGAGACCACCCCCACCCUGCCUCUCCCCAGCAGCAGAAGUUCCUCUGCCUGGGAGACAGACACUCCUCCUGGUGGCAUGAUCCCGUUCCCCCAGCCAAGGAUACGUCUGCCCUGCUUCUGAUUCGCCCUGUAGCCAGCACCUACCUACCCUCAAAACUCAGCCCAAGCAGGCGCCUCUAGCUUCCCCCACCCGGCUCUGCGUAGACCGCACCCACCGCAGCGCCCGCUCUCUGGUCUCCAACAGUCGUGUUUCCUCUUCUGCCCCCGCCCCAGCUGUGGGCUCCUUGAGGGGAGGGGCCGCAAGCGGGUUCUCAUUCGCCGUCCCAACCCUGUCUCCUGUGCUUCCCCUACACAACCGCGAAUUCAGACAACCCAGGGCUGGACCGCUGGUUACACCACCAACGUGGCAAAGGUGCCCAGGCUUCCCAACUUCCUUCUCCUCCUCUGCAACUUGGCCAUGAAGAUACCACCUGAGCAACGGCCAGCGUGAGGGCUCGCGGCAGUAAUGCCUGCAGAACGCGCGGCAGUGCGCGGAUGAGGGGCAUACCUGACACCAGAGGCUCAGGAAGCCGCCCCGGGGAACAAGUCAACCACGGCCGGCUGCUUCUCCGGGCAGUGAGACCUGCGAGUAGGAGCUGGAGUUCAAAUGGGACAUGAAAGCUUCAUCGCGUUUUCUUCUUGGUUACAAAAAUAACACUCUGCUUAUAUGCUUCCUCUCCCUUGCGGGUUUAGACUAAGAUGUGUGGGGUGGGUCGAGUGGAGAGGUGGUUUCCAUAGAUGGCGGCCUCAUGCGCCCACCACCGUGCGGAAUUCUCCACGUGCGCUACAGACCCCGGCCUGCACGGGUCCCGUCUGCUCCACAAGGGCCCAGGCCACACUCACUUCUCCAGCAAGCAUCUGCUGAGCGUCAGGGAAGGACCAGGUCCCGUGCUGAAUACACAGCAGUGAGCAAAAGCAGACAGGAGCUGUGCUCCGUGGAGUGCCCCGUCCGAUCUCAUUAAUCAAGCAAUUACUCAACUACAGAAAUAACACCCUUAGGAAAAGCGGUAAUCACUGUCACUUCCAUAGAGUCAACUGCGUACUAGGCACCGUUCCAGGCACUUUGUCAUGCACUAGCUUCUCUCCUCCUCACAAUGAUUCUUCGAGGCGGGUGCUAUUACUGCCCCCAUUUUACAGAUGAGGAAACUGAGGGCCUAAGAGGCGAAGGACUUGCCUCCGUCAGUUACACACCUAGAAAGUUACAGAGCUGGACUGAAGCCAGGUAACUCGGGCUGCAGAGGCCGCGUGGUUAGGUAUUAUGCUGCACCUGUCCCCCUCCGCCAUAACGGGAGCCGGUGAGUGUGUUCGGCAUGGUGGGCGAGUGCCAACUGAGCGGUGGGGGCAGAUGCCCGCAAAUGUCCCCGAAGAGGCAAUUCGCAAACUCUGAGCUGAAGGAUGAGGAGUUAAUGAGACAAAAAUGAGGGGGGCUUUCUAGGGAUCAGGAACAGCGUGUGCAAAGGCCCUGCGGCAGAAGGGAGAAAGGGAGGGAGGGAGAGUGCAAGUCCCAUGGGCCGGCCACGCUGUCUCCUGCUACAUGGGGCAAACGCUGGAGGGGGCACGGGUCAGCGUGCGAGGGCCGGGAGAAAAGGAGGGUGAGGAGCCUCCCAGAGAAAUGUCCUCCACGCAGGAGGAGGGCGGCAGAGAAGCCAUGUCAGAGACGCGACCAAAAAUGCACACUCAAGGUUUCCAUCUCAUCGGGAGGAACGCGAGCUGCCGGCCCCGUGAGAGAGGAAGGAAAGGCAGAAACCCGGCCUUGCGGACGCGGCUCGUUUUCCAGGAGUAGCACCAACCCGGACAGGUGGAACGUGGCAGUGGCCGCGCCCCAGCGCCUCACCUGCGCGGCGCCCGAUGCCUUCGCCUGCGGGGCGGAUGCGGGCUGGGGGCCUCUCCCGACCACUGGACGGGGAAGCAGCAAAACAGACAUGUAAUUUACACUCGGGGGGCAGGGGCACAUCAAAGGUAACAAUAAAUGCUAGUUCUUACUAUUUA